GGGUUGUGAGGUUAAGCGACUAAGCGUACACGGUGGAUGCCCUGGCAGUCAGAGGCGAUGAAGGACGUGCUAAUCUGCGAUAAGCGUCGGUAAGGUGAUAUGAACCGUUAUAACCGGCGAUUUCCGAAUGGGGAAACCCAGUGUGUUUCGACACACUAUCAUUAACUGAAUCCAUAGGUUAAUGAGGCGAACCGGGGGAACUGAAACAUCUAAGUACCCCGAGGAAAAGAAAUCAACCGAGAUUCCCCCAGUAGCGGCGAGCGAACGGGGAGGAGCCCAGAGCCUGAAUCAGUGUGUGUGUUAGUGGAAGCGUCUGGAAAGGCGCGCGAUACAGGGUGACAGCCCCGUACACAAAAAUGCACAUGCUGUGAGCUCGAUGAGUAGGGCGGGACACGUGGUAUCCUGUCUGAAUAUGGGGGGACCAUCCUCCAAGGCUAAAUACUCCUGACUGACCGAUAGUGAACCAGUACCGUGAGGGAAAGGCGAAAAGAACCCCGGCGAGGGGAGUGAAAAAGAACCUGAAACCGUGUACGUACAAGCAGUGGGAGCACGCUUAGGCGUGUGACUGCGUACCUUUUGUAUAAUGGGUCAGCGACUUAUAUUCUGUAGCAAGGUUAACCGAAUAGGGGAGCCGAAGGGAAACCGAGUCUUAACUGGGCGUUAAGUUGCAGGGUAUAGACCCGAAACCCGGUGAUCUAGCCAUGGGCAGGUUGAAGGUUGGGUAACACUAACUGGAGGACCGAACCGACUAAUGUUGAAAAAUUAGCGGAUGACUUGUGGCUGGGGGUGAAAGGCCAAUCAAACCGGGAGAUAGCUGGUUCUCCCCGAAAGCUAUUUAGGUAGCGCCUCGUGAAUUCAUCUCCGGGGGUAGAGCACUGUUUCGGCAAGGGGGUCAUCCCGACUUACCAACCCGAUGCAAACUGCGAAUACCGGAGAAUGUUAUCACGGGAGACACACGGCGGGUGCUAACGUCCGUCGUGAAGAGGGAAACAACCCAGACCGCCAGCUAAGGUCCCAAAGUCAUGGUUAAGUGGGAAACGAUGUGGGAAGGCCCAGACAGCCAGGAUGUUGGCUUAGAAGCAGCCAUCAUUUAAAGAAAGCGUAAUAGCUCACUGGUCGAGUCGGCCUGCGCGGAAGAUGUAACGGGGCUAAACCAUGCACCGAAGCUGCGGCAGCGACGCUGAUGCGUUGUUGGGUAGGGGAGCGUUCUGUAAGCCUGCGAAGGUGUGCUGUGAGGCAUGCUGGAGGUAUCAGAAGUGCGAAUGCUGACAUAAGUAACGAUAAAGCGGGUGAAAAGCCCGCUCGCCGGAAGACCAAGGGUUCCUGUCCAACGUUAAUCGGGGCAGGGUGAGUCGACCCCUAAGGCGAGGCCGAAAGGCGUAGUCGAUGGGAAACAGGUUAAUAUUCCUGUACUUGGUGUUACUGCGAAGGGGGGACGGAGAAGGCUAUGUUGGCCGGGCGACGGUUGUCCCGGUUUAAGCGUGUAGGCUGGUUUUCCAGGCAAAUCCGGAAAAUCAAGGCUGAGGCGUGAUGACGAGGCACUACGGUGCUGAAGCAACAAAUGCCCUGCUUCCAGGAAAAGCCUCUAAGCAUCAGGUAACAUCAAAUCGUACCCCAAACCGACACAGGUGGUCAGGUAGAGAAUACCAAGGCGCUUGAGAGAACUCGGGUGAAGGAACUAGGCAAAAUGGUGCCGUAACUUCGGGAGAAGGCACGCUGAUAUGUAGGUGAAGCGACUUGCUCGUGGAGCUGAAAUCAGUCGAAGAUACCAGCUGGCUGCAACUGUUUAUUAAAAACACAGCACUGUGCAAACACGAAAGUGGACGUAUACGGUGUGACGCCUGCCCGGUGCCGGAAGGUUAAUUGAUGGGGUCAGCGCAAGCGAAGCUCUUGAUCGAAGCCCCGGUAAACGGCGGCCGUAACUAUAACGGUCCUAAGGUAGCGAAAUUCCUUGUCGGGUAAGUUCCGACCUGCACGAAUGGCGUAAUGAUGGCCAGGCUGUCUCCACCCGAGACUCAGUGAAAUUGAACUCGCUGUGAAGAUGCAGUGUACCCGCGGCAAGACGGAAAGACCCCGUGAACCUUUACUAUAGCUUGACACUGAACAUUGAGCCUUGAUGUGUAGGAUAGGUGGGAGGCUUUGAAGUGUGGACGCCAGUCUGCAUGGAGCCGACCUUGAAAUACCACCCUUUAAUGUUUGAUGUUCUAACGUGGACCCGUGAUCCGGGUUGCGGACAGUGUCUGGUGGGUAGUUUGACUGGGGCGGUCUCCUCCUAAAGAGUAACGGAGGAGCACGAAGGUUGGCUAAUCCUGGUCGGACAUCAGGAGGUUAGUGCAAUGGCAUAAGCCAGCUUGACUGCGAGCGUGACGGCGCGAGCAGGUGCGAAAGCAGGUCAUAGUGAUCCGGUGGUUCUGAAUGGAAGGGCCAUCGCUCAACGGAUAAAAGGUACUCCGGGGAUAACAGGCUGAUACCGCCCAAGAGUUCAUAUCGACGGCGGUGUUUGGCACCUCGAUGUCGGCUCAUCACAUCCUGGGGCUGAAGUAGGUCCCAAGGGUAUGGCUGUUCGCCAUUUAAAGUGGUACGCGAGCUGGGUUUAGAACGUCGUGAGACAGUUCGGUCCCUAUCUGCCGUGGGCGCUGGAGAACUGAGGGGGGCUGCUCCUAGUACGAGAGGACCGGAGUGGACGCAUCACUGGUGUUCGGGUUGUCAUGCCAAUGGCACUGCCCGGUAGCUAAAUGCGGAAGAGAUAAGUGCUGAAAGCAUCUAAGCACGAAACUUGCCCCGAGAUGAGUUCUCCCUGACCCUUUAAGGGUCCUGAAGGAACGUUGAAGACGACGACGUUGAUAGGCCGGGUGUGUAAGCGCAGCGAUGCGUUGAGCUAACCGGUACUAAUGAACCGUGAGGCUUAACCUUACAACGCCGAAGCUGUU
rnacentral:rRNA from 1 species